AGAGUUUGAUCCUGGCUCAGAUUGAACGCUGGCGGCAGGCCUAACACAUGCAAGUCGAGCGGUAGAGAGAAGCUUGCUUCUCUUGAGAGCGGCGGACGGGUGAGUAAUGCCUAGGAAUCUGCCUGGUAGUGGGGGAUAACGUUCGGAAACGGACGCUAAUACCGCAUACGUCCUACGGGAGAAAGCAGGGGACCUUCGGGCCUUGCGCUAUCAGAUGAGCCUAGGUCGGAUUAGCUAGUUGGUGGGGUAAUGGCUCACCAAGGCGACGAUCCGUAACUGGUCUGAGAGGAUGAUCAGUCACACUGGAACUGAGACACGGUCCAGACUCCUACGGGAGGCAGCAGUGGGGAAUAUUGGACAAUGGGCGAAAGCCUGAUCCAGCCAUGCCGCGUGUGUGAAGAAGGUCUUCGGAUUGUAAAGCACUUUAAGUUGGGAGGAAGGGCAGUAAAUUAAUACUUUGCUGUUUUGACGUUACCGACAGAAUAAGCACCGGCUAACUCUGUGCCAGCAGCCGCGGUAAUACAGAGGGUGCAAGCGUUAAUCGGAAUUACUGGGCGUAAAGCGCGCGUAGGUGGUUAGUUAAGUUGGAUGUGAAAUCCCCGGGCUCAACCUGGGAACUGCAUUCAAAACUGACUGACUAGAGUAUG
rnacentral:rRNA from 1 species